GAUGAACGCUGGCGGCGUGCCUAAUACAUGCAAGUCGAGCGAACAGAUGAGGAGCUUGCUCCUCUGACGUUAGCGGCGGACGGGUGAGUAACACGUGGAUAACCUACCUAUAAGACUGGGAUAACUUCGGGAAACCGGAGCUAAUACCGGAUAAUAUAUUGAACCGCAUGGUUCAAUAGUGAAAGGCGGUUUUGCUGUCACUUAUAGAUGGAUCCGCGCCGCAUUAGCUAGUUGGUAAGGUAACGGCUUACCAAGGCAACGAUGCGUAGCCGACCUGAGAGGGUGAUCGGCCACACUGGAACUGAGACACGGUCCAGACUCCUACGGGAGGCAGCAGUAGGGAAUCUUCCGCAAUGGGCGAAAGCCUGACGGAGCAACGCCGCGUGAGUGAUGAAGGUCUUCGGAUCGUAAAACUCUGUUAUUGGGGAAGAACAAAUGUGUAAGUAACUAUGCACGUCUUGACGGUACCUAAUCAGAAAGCCACGGCUAACUACGUG
rnacentral:rRNA from 1 species